GCCAGUUUGGCGUAGCGGUUUGAGCAUUAGACAACGACUCUGAAGACCAGGGUUUGAAUCCCGGCACGGCCA